rnacentral:lncRNA from 1 species
AUAGGUUCCCACGGCCACAGCAGCAACUCUUGCUCCAUUUUCGAUGCAUAGGAUCAUCUCCCCAUCCAUCUACCUCCUGUUCUCCUCAAGAUCCUGCAUAGAAGUGCACAAAUGAGCACUAGAACCAAAGUCAAGUACCCAACUGGAUGCAGAAGAAAUCGUAAGGUUAGAUUCUAUAACGAGCAUACCUCCAGAAGGACUAUCCUUCUUGUUCUUUAGGGUGGCC